AUUGAACGCUGGCGGCAGGCUUAACACAUGCAAGUCGAGCGGGGGAAGGUAGCUUGCUACCGGACCUAGCGGCGGACGGGUGAGUAAUGCUUAGGAAUCUGCCUAUUAGUGGGGGACAACAUCUCGAAAGGGAUGCUAAUACCGCAUACGUCCUACGGGAGAAAGCAGGGGAUCUUCGGACCUUGCGCUAAUAGAUGAGCCUAAGUCGGAUUAGCUAGUUGGUGGGGUAAAGGCCUACCAAGGCGACGAUCUGUAGCGGGUCUGAGAGGAUGAUCCGCCACACUGGGACUGAGACACGGCCCAGACUCCUACGGGAGGCAGCAGUGGGGAAUAUUGGACAAUGGGGGGAACCCUGAUCCAGCCAUGCCGCGUGUGUGAAGAAGGCCCUAUGGUUGUAAAGCACUUUAAGCGAGGAGGAGGCUACUUUAGUUAAUACCGAGAGAUAGUGGACGUUACUCGCAGAAUAAGCACCGGCUAACUCUGUG
rnacentral:rRNA from 1 species